CAGCAGCCGCGGGAAUACGAGGGGUGCAAGCGUUACUCGGAAUUACUGGGCGUAAAGCGUGCGUAGGUGGUGGUUUAAGUCCGUUGUGAAAGCCCUGGGCUCAACCUGGGAACUGCAGUGGAUACUGGAUCACUAGAGUGUGGUAGAGGAUAGUGGAAUUUCCGGUGUAGCAGUGAAAUGCGUAGAGAUCGGAAGGAACAUCUGUGGCGAAGGCGACUAUCUGGGCCAACACUGACACUGAGGCACGAAAGCGUGGGGAGCAAACAGGAUUAGAUACCCCAGUAGUCCCUGUCUCUUAUAC
rnacentral:rRNA from 1 species